AUUGAACGCUGGCGGCAGGCCUAACACAUGCAAGUCGAGCGGAGCGGCGGACGGGUGAGUAAUGCCUAGGAAUCUGCCUGGUAGUGGGGGAUAACGUCCGGAAACGGGCGCUAAUACCGCAUACUAUCAGAUAACCAUAGGUCGGAGUAGCUAGUGGGGGGGGUAAAGGCCUACAAAGGCGACGAUCCGUAACUGGUCGGAGAGGAUGAUCAGUCACACUGGAACUGAGACACGGUCCAUACUCUUACGGGAGGUAGCAGGGGGGAAUAUGGGACAAUGGGCGAAAGCCUGAUCCAGCCAUGCCGCGUGUGUGAAGAAGGUCUUCGGAUUGUAAAGCACGUUAAGUUGGGAGGCGGUACCUAACGAAUAAGCACCGGCUAACUCCGUGCCAGCAGCCGCGGUAAUU
rnacentral:rRNA from 1 species